CUUUUAUUAGACCAGAAAUGUAGAUAGUCACGAACAUGUCUGCAAAGUGUUAGAGAAUCAAAAAACAGCAGGUAUUCAGGCCAGGGGAAGCUCAGCUACCCUGGAUAUUAUGAAGGAAAAUCCUAAUACUGAAACAUAAUUGAGCAUUCAUUUUCUGAACAGUAAAAUUAUUUUAUUGAGGUGGUAUCCUUUCCUGCCCUUUCUUGGAACACAUUCAAUCCCAUUAGUGGGGGUUUUUGUGCCUAAAAGAGAUGGUUUUGAAUUGUAAAAUGUGAUUAUUCACACUGGAAUAAUAAUGUGAGGCAUAUAACACUGUUUAGUCCUUAAAGCUGAUCAGCUUAUCACUGUCCAACACAAAGGAUUCCGAAAUCAGAUAUCUGAACAAGAUGAAUAUGUUAAAGCAGUGACCAGGGAUGCUAUGGGAACAGGAGGGUCUGGACUAAUCUUUGCAAACAUGAGAUGUGGUUCUGGUUUUAGUUAAGUACAUCAGGCAGGAAAACCAGUGUUCCUUGCUCCUUUGUUUCCCUGUUUUCAUCUGCUUCUCGUUUCCUAGGAGAGCUGCAUCUUCUCCAGUGUCUACUUGGACUGUAUUUUCCCUCCAUCUGAAUUUUUAUCCCAUCUCUCCCCUUCCUUUUCUGCUGGCUGCCACUUCUGUUCCCUUAAUAGUGAUUUCAGGGCUCAUACUGUCACUUGAGUCCCUCAAAUGCCACAUAGGUGGGUAUUUACACCGCUUUUGAAUAAAUGUUCUUUUCAGCUUCCCCCACAGGGACAUGAGUGAAGGCAGGAAGCAGCAGGGAGAGCAGCAGAGCACUCACAUGAUGGACCCCAAAGUCAGCACUCACAUGUGCAAGAAAACAGAGGCAGAGAGCUAUGAAAUCUCCAUCUGCUGAAAAACCCACAGAUAAGAGUGUCCAGCAGCAAAGUUCCAAUCACCAGCUGAAUAUUAUCUAAUUUCACACUGAAGGUAACUCUGCUGUGUUUCCAGCAUUGGACAUGACUUCUCAGUACUAGAACUGCAGGUCUUUGAUGGAACAUCAAAUGUGAUAUGAAAGUCUAGCAGAAUUCGAAGUGAAUGAGUAUUUUCUGGAAAUAAUCAGAACUUCAGAAGAAAGAGACCCUACACCACUAAAAGCAAUGGGAAAGGUAUUAAAAGUUACAGAUUAAUACUAGUCUACUAAUUCCACUGCUAGGGUUUUGCCCUGGACAUAAAUUGCUUGGGAAAUAAAAAAAGGCUAUGAAUACAUUGAGAUUAAUUAUCCCUUGGUAUAAAUUUCAUGGAAAUGAAUGGACUUACUGUGUUAGUUAACCUCUAUUACUCUGUUGGCUUUUCCACAAUAGGCUAUGUGCUGGGAGAGCCAUCUCCUAUUACCUCUGCUGCCUUUUCCUUCAGAGAUAGAGAGAUUUGUCCCAGUGUUCAGUCCUCAGCAUGGGUGUUAUUUUCCAGAGUUUGUGAGCAAUUUUUCACUACCAUUACACAUUCCCGCCGCAUAGCAGGAAUUAUUGAUAAUUACCCUCUUCAUUAAUGUGGCUAUUAGAGAGAAACUUCAAAAACUUGGCCAACUGCUUAGUCUGUACAUUUGAUUCUUACAUAUUUGUGUAGCCUUUCUGUUGACUGCACUGCAGGGCUUAAGUCACAGGAAACCCCAGGCUCCCCUCUUAGCAAGUGUAGCCUGUAAAAAAAUCAAUUAAAAUCCAUUGAAAUAUUAAAUUGAAGUUGCAUUUAUUUACCAGUUGCAACACAACAGUAUUGCACUGCAUUUGAAGUGCUUUUCCACAGCGAUGGCCUGCAGAGUGAAAGGUGAAAUAUAAACCUAGGUUCUCACCAGCACUAGUACAUUCAGAGGUUGUGCAGUCCCAUGUUCACAGCUGAAGUGAAACACAGAUAAGGAUCUUGCACUGGCAGGUUUCAACCUAGUGUAUUUUAGCUGGCUACCAUUAAAUAGAUCAGGUUGUGUUAGAACAGCCUUUCUCUAAAGUCCUGCUGCUGUUCUGGUCCAGCAGCUUUUCUUUGCAAUACACUCAAAUACCGCUGCCGUUUUUUUUAUUUAUAAUAAAGACCU